AAGUCGUAACAAGGUAACCGUAGGUGAACCUGCGGUUGGAUCAUUAACAAAUUCAAUCAAAAUUGAGGGAAACCUCUUUUUUACACACAAUGUGAACUGUUUAUUGUCUCUGGUGGUUCUUUUGGAUACUUUUUUAGUAUCUAAUCCCACUUUUUUAAAACUUAUUAUUUAUUGGCCUUUAUAUCUUAUAAAAAAGUUAAAUUAAAAAACAACUUUUGGCAACGGAUCUCUAGGCUCUU
rnacentral:misc_RNA from 1 species